AUGGUCAUAGGAGCGUGGUGGGCAAUGAAGAAAAGCUUAUUAGUGAAGCUGGGUGUGUAUCUGCUGGUCAUCGUCAUGGCUAAUUGCGCUCGGGAUAUCCCUGACUCUGUUGUCAAGAACCCUCCCGUAUACACCUGCGAAGACAUCAGUGAGACGUGGCGCGGGGGGCUGUGCGCCAAGCACGGCACCUGUAACAAGCCGUGCCAGGCGGAAGGGUACGACUCGGGCUUCUGUGCCCCCUUCCCCUUCCUGACCACCUGCUGCUGCAAGAAGAACUGUAUCGAUGCUCUGCAGCCACGCAGGAGCAGCUUUUUGUGCGGAUAA
rnacentral:rRNA from 1 species